AGCACUGCAGGGCUCUGGGCGGGAAGGCUAACCUGGUGCGGAGCCAGCCUGGGUCUCAGCCCCGCGUACGGCCUUUCACGAGUCUUCAAGCCUUCAGGCUUUCUUCUAGUCAAGAUGAGUGAUAAACCAGACUUGUCGGAAGUGGAGAAGUUUGACAGGUCAAAACUGAAGAAAACUAAUACUGAAGAAAAAAAUACUCUUCCCUCAAAGGAAACUAUCCAGCAGGAGAAAGAGUGUGUUCAAACAUCAUAAAAUGGGGAUCUCCUCCAAAGAGCAGAUUUCAGCAUUGCCUGACAGUCUUGGUUUUAGGCUUGUUUUUUUGUAAACCUGUGUGUUUGUAGAGAUUUCAGACAUCUUCUGAUUUCUUCUCACCUAUAUUCCCUGGUUAAGAGGUCAGGGGUAGUGAAUGUUUCCUUAAGUUCCUUUUUAAACUUCCCAUUGGUAUGUAAAUUCCAAAUGGCAGAUGCUGUCAAUAACCUUGCCAUGGAUGACCUUUGUGUAGGUAGUCCUUGCACCUCAUGCAGGAUAAGCCAAUUUUAACUUUCUACAAUGGGUGCCUCAAUAGUUUCAUAAUCUUCAUGAAGUUGCAUCCUUUGGCAGCUUCUUACAGUUUAUUUUCACUUCCAAUGUAGCAAUAAAAUAAUAAAUAUAAUCGUUGUUGUCUG
rnacentral:lncRNA from 1 species